rnacentral:rRNA from 1 species
UACAGAGGGGGCAAGCGUUGUUCGGAAUUACUGGGCGUAAAGGGCGCGUAGGCGGCCCGCUAAGUCGAACGUGAAAUCCCCGAGCUCAACUCGGGAACUGCGUCCGAUACUGGCGGGCUUGAAUCCGGGAGAGGGAUGCGGAAUUCCAGGUGUAGCGGUGAAAUGCGUAGAUAUCUGGAGGAACACCGGUGGCGAAGGCGGCAUCCUGGACCAGUAUGACGCUGAGGAGCGAAAGCCAGGGGAGCAAAGCGGG